CCCCUAGAUGUUCUGGGCCGCACGCGCGCUACACUGAACAGUUCAACAAGUCUUAACCUUGGCCGAUAGGUCUGGGUAAUCUUUGAACGCUGUUCGUGAUUGGGAUAGACCUUUGCAAUUAUGGGUCUUCAACGAGGAAUUCCUAGUAAACGCAAGUCAUCAGCUUGCAUUGAUUACGUCCCUGCCCUUUGUACACACCGCCCGUCGCACCUACCGAUUGAAUGGUCCGGUGAAAUCUCGGGACGGCGGCUUGGUCGCUUGCGUCCGACUGCUGAAACUUGAUUAAACCAUAUCAUUUAGAGGAAGGUGAAGUCGGAACA
rnacentral:rRNA from 1 species